CAAUGGACGCAAGUCUGAUGGAGCAACGCCGCGUGAGUGAAGAAGGCUUUCGGGUCGUAAAACUCUGUUGUUGGAGAAGAAUGGUCGGCAGAGUAACUGUUGUCGGCGUGACGGUAUCCAACCAGAAAGCCACGGCUAACUACGUGCCAGCAGCCGCGGUAAUACGUAGGUGGCAAGCGUUAUCCGGAUUUAUUGGGCGUAAAGCGAGCGCAGGCGGUUUUUUAAGUCUGAUGUGAAAGCCCUCGGCUUAACCGAGGAAGCGCAUCGGAAACUGGGAAACUUGACUGCAGAAGAGGACAGUGGAACUCCAUGUGUAGCGGUGAAAUGCGUAGAUAUAUGGAAGAACACCAGUGGCGAAGGCGGCUGUCUGGUCUGUAACUGACGCUGAGGCUCGAAAGCAUGGGUAGCGAACAGGAUUAGAUACCCUGGUAGUCCAUGCCGUAAACGAUGAAUGCUAGGUGUUGGAGGGUUCCGCCCUUCAGUGCCGCAGCUAACGCAUUAAGCAUUCCGCCUGGGGAGUACGACCGCAAGGUUGAAACUCAAAGGAAUUGACGGGGGCCCGCACAAGCGGUGGAGCAUGUGGUUUAAUUCGAAGCAACGCGAAGAACCU
rnacentral:rRNA from 2 species